rnacentral:rRNA from 1 species
UACGUAGGCAGCGAGCGUUGUUCGGAGUUACUGGGCGUAAAGGGUGUGUAGGCGGUUUUCUAAGUUUGGUGUGAAAUCUCCCGGCUCAACCGGGAGGGUGCGCCGAAAACUGGGAGACUAGAGUGCGGGAUGGGAGAGUAGAAUUCCUGGUGUAGGGGUGAAAUGCGUAGAUAUCAGGAGGAAUACGGGUGGUGUAGACGGCUCUCUGGACCGCCACUGACGCUGAGACACGAAAGCGUGGGUAGCAAACAGG